GGAGUUGUGGCUCAGUGGUAGAGCACUUGCCUAGCAAGUGUGAGGCCCUGGGUUAGAUUCUCAGCACCG
rnacentral:tRNA from 1 species